rnacentral:rRNA from 1 species
UACGGGGGGGGCAAGCGUUGUUCGGAAUUACUGGGCGUAAAGGGCUCGUAGGCGGCCAACUAAGUCGGACGUGAAAUCCCCAGGCUCAACCUGGGAACUGCGUCCGAUACUGGAUGGCUUGAAUCCGGGAGAGGGAUGCAGAAUUCCAGGUGUAGCGGUGAAAUGCGUAGAUAUCUGGAGGAAUACCGGUGGCGAAGGCGGCAUCCUGGACCGAGAUUGACGCUGAGGAGCGAAAGCCAGGGGAGCAAACGGG